CCUACGGGUGGCAGCAGUGGGGAAUAUUGGACAAUGGGGGCAACCCUGAUCCAGCCAUGCCGCGUGUGUGAAGAAGGCCCUCGGGUUGUAAAGCACUUUCAGUGAGGAAGAACGCCUGGUGGUUAAUACCCAUCAGGAAAGACAUCACUCACAGAAGAAGCACCGGCUAACUCCGUGCCAGCAGCCGCGGUAAUACGGAGGGUGCGAGCGUUAAUCGGAAUUACUGGGCGUAAAGCGCGCGUAGGUGGCUUGAUAAGCCGGUUGUGAAAGCCCCGGGCUCAACCUGGGAACGGCAUCCGGAACUGUCAAGCUAGAGUGCAGGAGAGGAAGGUAGAAUUCCCGGUGUAGCGGUAAAAUGCGUAGAGAUCGGGAGGAAUACCAGUGGCGAAGGCGGCCUUCUGGACUGACACUGACACUGAGGUGCGAAAGCGUGGGUAGCAAACAGGAUUAGAUACCCGAGUAGUC
rnacentral:rRNA from 1 species